GUCGAGGAGCGGCCCAGCGAGGCGGCACCGUUUAUGGUGGCCGCCACCAGCGAUUCUUCGAGGCUCAUUCCGCACACCACGCACGCCAGGUACAUCACCAUGGGCUACGUCACGAGCCAAGGGCGCAAUGCAAAGACACGUCGAGCCCGUAGCCGGACUUGGCCUCGACCAAUGUGGUGCCGGCCCGCAGCAUGGCGUCCAGCCGCUCCACCAGGCCCUCCAGAAGAUACUCCUCGCUGGCCUUGCGCGUGUGCUCCACCGUGAAGUGGAUGCCACCUCCCUUUUCGUGGAUCUCCAGGGCGUCUUGCAGGUGCAUCCUUGCCGGCUCGUAGCAGUGCGAGUAUCCCAGCCGUCCCAAGCGGUCAGCAUGCGUGCGAGGCUCCCGUUGCGAGCGGCCGUAGGGCGGCGCCACUGCGCCAUUCCCGUCAACCGGCUCCGAUCGAGAAGCAAGCGGGAAGUUGUGGGGGCGCCUUCUACGAGCUGCAAUUUCUCCCUUCAUUACGCAACUCAUCUCACUUGUCGGAUAUUUGUUUACUGCUACAGCACAACAUGGUAGCAUAGAGUAUAUAGUUUGUACCAACUGUACCAUGGCUAGGGCAGCAAGAUAACGCAAUUAAGAACCGCGCUCCCUAAAUGACAGUGCGUGCGAUCUCACUCAGAUCUAAGAGCACGGGUGCUCCUUGCGUAGCCAGUGGGUGGCACACCAGGUACGUGCACGCCCCCCCCCCCCCCCUCCUACAAGCCUAAAUUUAUGUGUAAGUAAGCUGCCUGCGCCCAGCUCUCUCUCUCUCUUCUCCCCCCCCCCCCCCAUCCUCUACGUCCCCGGUCAAGUGCGUGCCCCCCCCCCCUUCCCCUUUCCGAAAUAAAGAAAGUCUGUCUACGCCACUGCUGGGUACGGUAGGUGUACGGAACUGACCAUACUUAGCAUGGAGAAAUCUAUGUACACAAGAGGAACACGAAAACAGCUGUUCGCGCAAUCUUGCUUUCACGAGACCACAGAGCUGCUCUAAUUAUAUAUUCGCAGUGACGGCUCCAGUCCGCUUACGGAACGUUAUAAUCAGUGGUUUGAUAUGCCACUCGUUCAACAUAAUUUUAUGAUGAUGAGCUAACACAAAACUGCCGUCCCUUAGAAUGCGCUUAAGAGGAAGCUUUAGCUCGGGUGCUCCUGUAUAAUAAUAAUAAUAAUAAUAA